GUCAGCAGCUGUACAACCUGCAGUUCAGACUAGGUAAUUGACCAGAAGCUAAGCAGGUUUGGGCCUGGCCAGCACUUGGGUGGGAGACCAACAAGGAAGGUUGCGUUGCUGCUGAAA
rnacentral:rRNA from 1 species